CAAAUUUGCACACUCACAUUUUACGUAAAAGGGAAAAAUUGGACUAGCGCGAUGGAGGAACGUCUCCCGUAAGAUUCUUGCCUAAAAAGGAAACCAAAUGAGUACUUAAAUAGAGAAUUCAAUUAAAACAAGCAGAAAUCUUGUUUCGACAAAAUAAAUGAUAACAACAUGAAAACUCGCAGAGACGGAAGGAAUUAACUAAUAACUUACACAACAACCGUACAAUCGACACAAUGAGCAAAAAAGAACUCCAAAUUAGCCCAAUAUCAAUUAUGGAAACAAGAAAAAAGAAAAAAAAGAAAAAAAAGGAAAGAAAACAAAAAGAAACAAUGGAAAAUUAGUUUUAAAAGAAACUAAGUUAACCACCAACCAGAUUCCCAAC
rnacentral:lncRNA from 1 species